ACGUGACCACAUGCCGAUGACGCGAAGCAGAGGAUAAAUGCAAAAUAUUAGGACUAACCAUGAACAACCUGUAUCAUGUGACAGAACUAUUCAAGAACGAAAUUUCUCUGUCAUGAAGGGCUAAAGAAGGCACGCUUACACAACUAGGACCCUUUUUAAGAAAGGGUAAAAUAGACUU
rnacentral:lncRNA from 1 species